GCGAGAGUGAUGUAGCCGGCAACAUGCGAGUCUUCCAAACUCGAUUCGCGGGUUCGACUCCCGCCUCUCGUUCCA
rnacentral:tRNA from 1 species